rnacentral:rRNA from 1 species
AGCAACUUGGAGGAAUGUAUAGCUACGGCUAAUUGUGUAUUAAUGCACAAGAUCGACUCUGUCGAAUAAAAUUCUGGGUAGAUUAUGAUAAUGACAUUUUUUACCUAUGUGUCUUGACCAAAUUGUGUGCCAGCAGUCGCGGUAAUACAUAGAAGACUAGUGUUAUUCAUCUUUAAUAGGUUUAAAGAGUACCUAGACGGUAAAUCAAGCCUUAGACGGGACUAAUUUGCUAGAGUUACUUAUGAGGGGGCUUUAAAGUACUAAUGGUGUAGUGAUAAAAUUUUGUAAUACCAUUUUUUGUAAUGAAAAGUUAUGGCACUGGUAAAGGUGAAAGCAUCCCCCUAUGUGAUAACUGACGUUGAAGGACGAAGGCUUUGGGUCGCGAAUAGGAUUAGAUACCCUAGUAGUCAAAGCAGAAAAUUAUGAGUGUCAUAGAUUAGAUAAUAGAUAGUUUAUUCUAUAAAUGAAAGUGUAAGCACUCCACCUCAAGAGUAAUUUGGCAACAUUGGAACUGAAAUCAUUAGACCGUUUCUGAAACCAGUAGUGAAGUAUGUUGUUUAAUUCGAUGAUCCGCGAAAAACCUUACCACAACUUGAAUAUGUAUAUCUUUGAUAUAUUUACAAGCGUUGCACGGCUGUCUUCAGUUAAUGUCGUGAGACUUUGGUUAGAUCCAUUAAAUUAACGUAAGCCCUUACUUUAUUUUUAUAUAAAGUAGUUCUCCACUAUAUUGGAUAAGAUAACAGGGACUAAGACAAGUCAUCAUGGCCUGAAUGUUGU